GGAUGUGAGGGUGAUCUGGCUGCCACAUCUGUCACCCCACUGAUCGCCAGGGUUGAUUCGGCUGAUCUGGCUGGCUAGGCGGGUGUCCCCUUCCUCCCUCAACGAUCCAUGUGCGUCCCUCCCGAAGCUGUGCGCUCAGUCAAAGAGGAUGAUAGAGGAGGACCGUUCCUCAGUCAAGGGUAUACAAGGAGCUGCUGUCCUCUGCUAGAACCUCCAAACAAGCUCUCAAAAGACCAGCAGAAAUUGGCAGUAUAAUUAUCCAAAUUAUCCUGCAUAUAUACAUAUGUGCAUCUUUU
rnacentral:snRNA from 1 species